GAAGAGUUUGAUUCGGCUCAGAUUGAACGCUGGCGGCAGGCCUAACACAUGCAAGUCGAACGGUAACAGGAAGCAGCUUGCUGCUUCGCUGACGAGUGGCGGACGGUGAGUAGUCGUUCGAAACUCGCUCCGAUGGAUAAUCCACGGAAACGGUGCUUACUACCGCAUUUUAACGUCGUAAGACCAAAGAGGGGACCUGGCCCUUGCCAUCGGAUGCGCCCAUAAUUAUCAGCUAUGGUGGGUAAUAAUCUAGGCGAUCCCUUAGCUGGUCUGAUAGAUGACCAGCCACAUUCGGAACUGAGACACGGUCCAGACUCCUACUGAGGCAGCAGUAAUGGUGUUACCGGCGCCUGAUGCAGCCAUGCCGCGCGUGGCGUGAAGAAAUUGGCUGUAAAGUACUUCAGCGGGAAGGUGCUAUAAAAGCGUUCUUGCUCAUUGAUUUACCUGCAGAAGGCACCGUUAACUCUGCCGCGUACGGAGGGUGCAAGCGUUGAAUUACUGCGUAAAGCGCACGGUAUACCGAGUUGUCAGGAUGUGAAAUCCCCGGUCGCAACCUGAACUGCAUCUGAUACCGCGCUUCGAGUCUCAGGAGGGGGCAGGAAUCGUGUAGCGGUGAAAUGCGUAGAGAUCUGGAGGAAUACCGCGGCGAAGGCGGCUCGACGGUAUCGACGCUCUCUAAAGUGCGAAAGCGUGGGGAGCAAAACAGGAUUAGAUACCUCGCAGUCCUAAUGCCGUAAACGUAUCGACUUGGAUGCUGUUCAGUGUUUCCGGAGCUAACGUUAAGUCGACCGCCUGGGGAGUAAUGGCCGCGUUGGUUAAAAACUCAAAUGAAUUGAUUUGGCCCGCGGUGAGCAAUGUGGUUUAAUUCGAUGCACGGCAAGAACCUUACCCGUCUUGACAUCCACAGAACUUUCCAGAUGGAUUAUGCCUUCGGGAAACGUGAGACAGGUGCUGCAUGGCUGUCGUCAGCUCGUGCCAGAAAUGUUGGUUAAGUCCGCAACGAGCGCAACCUUAUCCUUUGUUGCCAGCGGUCCGGCUGGAAUUAAAGGAGACUGCCAGCGAUAAACUGAGGAAGGUGGAUGAUUGUCAUCAUGGUCCUACGACCGUGGCUAACACGUACAAUGGCGCAUACAAAGAAGCACCGAGAGCAAGUUGACCUCAUAAGCAAGUGUCGUAGUCCGGAUUGGAGUCUGGCAACUCGACUCCAUGGUGUCGGAAUCGCUGUAGUAAUCGUGGAUCAGAAUGCCACGGAAAUACGUUCCCGGCCUUGUAAUACCGCCCGCCACCAUGGGAGGGUUGCAAAAGAAGUAGGUGGAAGCUUAACCUUCGAGGGCGCUUUACCACUUUGCGAUUCAUGACUGGGGUGAAGUCAAGGUAACCGUAGGAACCUGGUGGUUGAUCACCUCCUUUACCUUUAAAGAA
rnacentral:rRNA from 1 species